ensembl:lncRNA LINC01445 long intergenic non-protein coding RNA 1445
AUCAUCCUUUUUCCUGGUGUCUCCAUUUUUAUCUUAUGUCAUCUCUGAUGCUCUCUGAAGCCACGCCCUUUUCAGUAGUUGAAAACCUUUUAUUUGCUGCUUUCUCAUAAUGCCAAUUGGUACGUAAAUUUGAUUGUCUUGGCCCUGGCUUAAAGCUACACAUGCUUCUGCCUUUUGCCUUCCUGGUUGCUUACCAGCUUUUGUAUUUCCCAACUGAAAAUUACUGCAAAAAAUACUUUGGGUACAAUAUAUACUUUUUUCCUUUUAGGUCACAAGAUGUACAUUGCUGGCCUCAGCUGGAUUUUCCCAGGGUCAGGUGCCCAUUCCUACCUAAUCAAAGGUCAUGAGUCCUCACACGUUUUCAAGAGUUUGGAAAAUGAUCUCCCUUGCCAGACUGCCAAUCUUCAAAGGGAGUUCUAUAUGUGGAAGAAAAAGAAAAAAUUUAUGUGCAUUUACCCUGUUUAAUACACUCAUCAUAUAUAGUAUUUUUGCAACAGCAAAAAUAACACUCUUAAUUUAGUAUGUAAUUAUAUAUGUCAUAUACUUAAUAUACAAAAUAUUUUCCUUGCUAACCUAUACGAUUUCAAAUGCCUGGAACAAUAGAUAAUUCAUGUGAUUACUUGAGAGUAUGUAAAUUUUAAUAUGUUAACAUAUACUGGCAAAGUUCUAAAAGUUGCGAUUUUAUGGGAGGCCAAAUUAUGUACAUAUUAGUUUGUCUGAAGACUUGAGCCAAAAGGAAACUAAUACACUUCUGAGCUACAAUAUGGACAUAAUGUCAUGAAGCAGGAACAUUAUGCUCCAUUUCAGGACACUUCUGCUGACCUGCACCUAGAAUACCCUGUUCUGUGCUGAUGACUCAGAUGUAAGAAUGAUGAAGUGCAUCGGCUGGCAUGCAGAGAACAAUAAGAAAAAGAACUGAGUUGUGGGAAGACAUGAGGAAAGGACAUGAGGCUCUUAAUAACAGCUGCCAAGUACUGCAGUCGGGAAUCUGGAGCAAAGUGAUUCAAUUCUGACCACUGCCUGUGAGUAAAUGGGAUUUUAUUUUUCAAUACUUUUGUUUAAUAGUACCUCCUUCAUUACAUGUGAACAGCACUCCAGGACAGUAAAUCAUGAAAUGGGAAUAAAGCCUGUAAUUUUAAUUAACAUAUUUUAAAAUGUUUCUAAUUUGUAUGCAUUUGAUCAAAUUUUCAUUUGCAUUGAGCUAUUUUUUUUCUUUCUCAUGUAAUGUUUGACAUUACCAUUUCUUUCUUUAAUGAAAUACUAAUAUUUAAUAAAAUAUAUUACAUCCUUAA